rnacentral:rRNA from 1 species
UGCCUAGAACAUAGUGUUAAUGCAACCGAUCCCAUUAUAACUCCACAGUUAAGCGCACUCGGGCUAGAGUAGUACUGGGAUGGGUGACCGCCUGGGAAGUCCUAGUGUUUUACAUGC